rnacentral:rRNA from 1 species
CCUACGGGAGGCAGCAGUAAGGAAUAUUGGUCAAUGGGCGGAAGCCUGAACCAGCCAUGCCGCGUGCAGGAAGACGGCCCUACGGGUUGUAAACUGCUUUUGCAGGGGAAUAAACCCCGAUAUGUAUAUCGGGCUGAAUGUACCUUGAGAAUAAGGAUCGGCUAACUCCGUGCCAGCAGCCGCGGUAAUACGGAGGAUCCAAGCGUUAUCCGGAUUUAUUGGGUUUAAAGGGUGCGUAGGUGGCUUAUUAAGUCAGGGGUGAAAGACGGUAGCUUAACUAUCGCAGUGCCUUUGAUACUGAUGAGCUUGAAUCCACUAGAGGUAGGCGGAAUGUGACAAGUAGCGGUGAAAUGCAUAGAUAUGUCACAGAACACCAAUUGCGAAGGCAGCUUACUAUGGUGGUAUUGACACUGAGGCACGAAAGCGUGGGGAUCAAACAGGAUUAGAUACCCUGGUAGUCCACGCCCUAAACGAUGAAUACUCGAUGUUGGCGAUAUACCGGUNAGCGUCUAAGCGAAAGCGUUUAAGUAUUCCUACCGUACGGGAGGUACGACCCGCCGAACGGGUAGGUAAACGUACGAAAGUAAGUAAGUACGACGCGAGAGAGACGACGACGACGACGACGGAGGGAGGAGG